rnacentral:rRNA from 1 species
UGGCUCAGGACGAACGCUGGCGGCGUGCCUAAUACAUGCAAGUCGAACGGUCUUUCUAUGGAAGCUUGCUCCACUGAGAAGAUAGUGGCGAACGGGUGAGUAACACGUGGGUAACCUGCCCAUAAGAGGGGGAUAACAUCCGGAAACGGGUGCUAAUACCGCAUAGUUUUCUUGAUCGCAUGAUCGGGAAGGAAAGACGGCCUUUGUGCUGUCGCUUAUGGAUGGACCCGCGGCGUAUUAGUUAGUUGGUGAGGUAACGGCUCACCAAGACGAUGAUACGUAGCCGACCUGAGAGGGUGAUCGGCCACAUUGGGACUGAGACACGGCCCAAACUCCUACGGGAGGCAGCAGUAGGGAAUCUUCCGCAAUGGACGAAAGUCUGACGGAGCAACGCCGCGUGAGUGAAAGAAGGUUUUCGGAUCGUAAAACUCUGUUGUCAGAGAAGAACAAGUUGGAGAGUAACUGCUCCAGCCUUGACGGUAUCUGACCAGAAAGCCACGGCUAACUACGUGCCAGCCGCGGC